CUGCCUCAGCCUCCCGGGUAGCUGGGACUACAGGCGCCCGCGACCACGCCCGGCUAAUUUUUUUUUGUAUUUUUUUUUAGUAGAGACCGGGUUUCGCCGUGUUAGCCAGGAUGGUCUCGAUCUCCUGACCUCGUGAUCCACCCGCCUUGGCCUCCCAAAGUGCUGGGAUUACAGGCGUGAGUAACCGCACCCGGCAGUAGUACCUACUUUUUAAAGUGUAAGCAAGGAAAGUUGGCCCGCACCUGUAGUCCCAUCUACCUGGGAGGCUGAGGUGGAAGAAUUGCUUGAGCCCAGUUGGUCGAGGCUGCAAUGAGCCUUGAUCACGCCACUGCACUCCAGCCUGGGCAACAGAACAAGACCCUGUCUCAAACAAAAAAGUGUAUGUAAGAAUAAAAAUUAAUAGAUUAGGCACAGGAUGGGUGUUUAAUUCUCGGCAAUCACCACUAAGUUUUCAUACUGAGGCUUAUUCAUUCCAUGGGCAAAACAUUGCGCUAUGUGUGGUGCCUGGGGUGGGCUCCAAAUUCCAGUCCUCUCCUCGCUUGCGAUAGCUGUGUGAUCCAUUCCUAAGUUUCCUUAUUUGUCCACAGAGCGUACACAGGGUUUUUAUGAAAACUAGAUCAGAUAAUCAGACACAGUUAAAAUAGCACGCGCUCAGUAAAAUUACAUAUUAGUGGAAGAGACAAGCCUUGAAUAAAUCGCCUUUCGGGGAGUAUGACCCCCUCCCCGAAACCCACUCAGGCGCUGCUCGCUCGCACGCCCACUGAGCUCGGAGCGGAGCCCGAGCCCUUUCCCAGCACACAGGGUUCAUUUCCAGACUGAAAGACAUCCCAGAGACAACUCCAGAGGCCAAGGCGGGUCGGCUUCCUGCGUGGGCCCAGCGCCGGGCACUGAAAGGUGAAGGCGCUUCUUCCGCUCGGAGGAAAGCCUCUGGCGGUUCUCGCUUCGCGGGCUCGGGAUGGACACGCGCGUAGGGCUGGGGAGGUGACGCGCGGACAACGCCGGGGCGAGCAAACUACAACUCCCAGGCAGCUGUGCGCCACGCGGGCGGCCUACUGUCGGGUGUGGCCGCGAGGGGCGGCCUAUAUAAGCUCUUGCUCGCGGCUUCAGCGCCCUUUCUCCCCGCCGCAUUCCCGGUGUCGACUUACUAGCUGCAAGCCUCUGCCUGCCUUCCUGCGCGCCGUUCCCCGCUAGUCGCUGCUGCUGGCGCGCACUCGCCGGGUUUUUCCUCCCACGGCCUCGAGAUGGUGGUGAAUGUGGCACGGAGGAGCCGGGCCUUCCAACCCGGUGGGCCCGAGCUCCGAAAGGCCCCCUCGGCAGUGAGAGGGGCGGGAGCCCGCGGGGGCCGCGCCCUUCUCUCGCUUCGGACUGCGCAACGCUGCGCUCUGGGCUGACAGGCGGAUAAAACGGUCCCAUCAAGACUGAGAAAAAGCACACCAGCUAUUGGCACAGCGUGGGCAGUGGGGCCUACAGGAUGACUGACUUAGUCUACAGAGAUCCCGGCGUACUUAAGCAGGUAGUAAUGAUGGACAGGUGAGGCUUUAGGCGGCCGCCCUGGGAUCUGAAUUGCCCCUUGGCCCUUAUCGAAGCUGCAGCUGCUUCCGCAUAGCUGCUGUGGUCAAAAAGGAGCCCAGAGUGACAGUUUUCCUUGACGGUCGCCGUUCUGUUUGUUGUAACUGAUCUGCAACAUUUUGGGAAAAUACAGUUCCAUUGUACCUGCCACCUUUCAGCUGUAGCCAGAGACCUUUAUCAAAAUGGGCUUGUUUCCACAGAACAGCAGAACGGUUGGGGGUUUGCAUGUACAGUUAACCAGCAUAAGACUCGUACUGGGAAAAUCCAGCUGGGAUGUGACACAGCUUAACUGAUAGCUUAAGGCAUCAGUAUUGGGACCAAAGGCUGGUCAGAUUUGUAUCAUUCUGAGGACCAAAUGAUGGGAACAAUAAAAUUGUUCAUGACAGUUGUUCUCAUUUUGCUGUCCAGAUGAAGACUCUUAAGAUGACAGAAGGUGAUUUUUCUGGUGAUCGAGGACUUCCGGGGUAAUGACAGUGAUGAAAUGCAGGGGACCUGGUAGGUUUCUUUUGGAGACUAACUGGGGGCUGCCUGGUGGGACAGAACAGCAUGUUUCCAAGGGCUGUGGCUGGUCAUAGCCAUGGGAUCUCCAACUGCAUGCAAGAGCAACCUGGAAAGACUUUGACAGCGCAGGUUGCCCCCAAGUUUCCUGGCAGUGUGUGAUACUGAGGAGGUGAGCUUGUUUCUGGAGCUGUGCUUUAAGGUAAAGUUGAUCAGCUUAAUCCUCCUGAUCCCUUUCCCAUCGGAUCUGAACACUGGUCUUGGUGGUCGUAAAAGGAGGAAAAGUAAUAGUGAAGCUGGCCUAAAUGUUGUAAUCUGGUAUAUGGCAUGUGGGCUAGUUUCAGACAGGUUUCAGAGAUGGUUGGAUCUCUGAAAUUGUAAAAUGAAGUAUAAUCUUAGGCUAAGGGAAGGAUGCGUGUGAAGCUCUGGAGAUUCAUGUUACAUGUAAAGCUGUCCUCAUUUGUGACUAUGGACCUAUGGAGUUGGGACAAUCUCUAUGGGAAGCAGAAGGCAAGGACCCCGGUCAUUUUAGGUAGAAACAACAGCAUGCUAAUGCAAAAAAUUAUGCAGUGUGCUACUGAACUUCAGAGGUGAUCAAUAAAAGAAGAAUAAAAAGACUAAUAAAAGUAUAUUUGUGUUUGUAUUUUUUUGUAGAGACCGAACUGGUCUCUU
rnacentral:lncRNA from 10 species